CUAGCUCGUCGAGCAUCAUAUUUAAAAUGUUGUACUGGGUGGGAACGAGGAAAGUAAAGACUGAAUCAAGUUGGACGUGUGGAAAGUGAAUGAGAGAUGGGAACAAGAAACGCAGGAGAGGGAAUGGGAAUGGGAAUGCUUCCAGGUCCUACCAGCAGAGAAAAUGGAGGAUGCGCGCACUGUAGUGAGAAGGGGUUGCUGGCGUACGGGGCAGGCAGCAGCAUAGUGAUAAUAGAGACGAGAUCCAUGCAACUGGUGAGCGUACUGCCCAUGCCUCCGCCUUCUUCUUCUCCCUUACUCCCCGCUCCCUUCGUCACCUCCCUGCAGUGGACGCCGCAAUCUAUGCAGAAGGACAUUACGCAGGAAUUAUCUACCGCGCAUCUUCGCCUGGCCGUGGGGGAUCGCCAGGGUCGGAUUGCCAUCUGGGACGCAGGAUCCAGGCAAGUCACACACUGGAUGAAUUUCGAGUCGGAAAAGGGGAAGCUGGGCAUCCAGGAUGUGUGUUGGGGGAGGUGCAUGGGCACGGGCAGCUGGCUUUUGAUGGCAAUUCACGGGCCAUCGCUGUUGGCCAUAUGGAACACGCAGAAUGGUCGCUGCGUCUGGAAAUACGAUGCUGCUCCUCAUAUUCUUCUUUCCCUUCGCCGUGAUCCUUUUGAUUUCAGGCACCUUUGCGUCCUUGGACUCAAAGGCCUUCUUUUCUCUAUCAAUAUCGCAGGGGAUGAACAGAAUGAUACAGUGCUCAAAGAACAUCAGCUUCAAGUCAGUGAAAUCGGGAAUUUAAAGAGUGACAAGGAAACAGGAAACAAUCAGUCCUCAUCCUCUCCGGCUUUGGCUUUGUUCCCUAAUGUUUUUGUUAAAUGUUUGUUUUCAUCGAGAUGGCCACACAUACUAUAUGUGAUGUUUCCAAGAGAGAUUAUUAUCUUUGAUUUGCAGUAUGGAGCACCGCUCUCAGUCACUGCAUUGCCCCGCGAGUCUGCGAAGUUUUUUGAUCUGAUCGUAGACCUUCAUGGCGAUUUUCUCUAUUGUGCUCAUACAGAUGGAAAGCUCAGUGUGUGGAAGAGAAAGGAAGGGAAGCAGACUUACAUGUUAUGUAUGUUGGAAACUUUAAUGCCCUUGAUGGGCACAUCAGUGCCAUCACCAACAAUACUUGCUGUUUCUUAUUGCUCUUCAGAGCUUGAAAUCGAGAAAGCUCACAUAAUAAAUUCAGAAGAAGUAUCUGGUUUCAAGCCCUUUGAGCUGCCUGCUUACACAGAAAAAGCUGCUUCUUCCAUGUUAUUGGGGCAAUCUACUCAUGCCCUGGAGACAGCAUUUAUCUCUGUUUCUGAUGAUGGCAAAGUGUGGAAAUGGUCAUUGACUGCAGAGGUACCAGGAGAUGUGCACAGUCAGGAAAUGAAUGAGACUGUCUCCAGAGAUCCUAUUCAACAAAGUGACAAAGAAAUAUUGAUAAAUUUGACAGAGACACAAGUAGAUGGAUAUGGCGAGGAAGAAUCUGAAGUUUCACAGCAAUUACACACAUCCAUUUUCAGUAGAGGUGAACCAAUCUUUCAGCUUAAAUUGACUGGCCAGCUCCAUCUUAUUUCCUCUACUAUAACUACGGUGGCAGUACCGGCACCUUCCUUGACUGCUACUUCCCCUGGAGGCAGCAAUGGUCAGGCAGUUGCUGUUCCAUUGGUUGCUUUGGCUACUCAGGGUGGUUGUAUAGAGGUAAUUGAUGUGGCAGCCACAGCUGUUUCAACAUCAUUUUCUGUACACAACAGUGCUAUCCGAGGACUACGCUGGCUUGGGAAUUCUAGGCUGGUUUCAUUCUCUUACACACAGGUAAAUGAAAAAGCUGGAGGUUACAUCAACAAACUUGCAGUGACAUGUGUGCGGAGUGGGAUCAGCCGCUUUUUCCGGGUCUUGCAAAAGCCAGAGCGAACACCAAUGCGAGCUCUGCGGGCAUCCCCAUCGGGAAGAUAUCUCCUCAUUUUAUUCCGUGAAGCUCCUGUGGAGGUGUGGGCAAUGACUAGAAACCCCCAGAUGCUUAGGUCACUAGCACUUCCUUUCACUGUGAUGGAGUGGGCAUUGCCACCUGUCCCAAAACCACAACAAAAAUCAUCAUCUCAGCAGCCGUCCAAUUUUUCUAAAGAACAACCCAUUGUUGCUUCAAAUCUAGCAGCAACCAGUGCACAUUCUGCCAAUUCAAAGUCAGGUACAUCUGAAGGUGCAGCUGAAGAGACGGGUGAAAGUUUUGCAUUUGCAUUAGUUAAUGGAUCUAUUGGAGUUUUUGAGGUUCGUGGCAGGAGAAUUCGAGAUUUCAGACCCAAGUGGCCCACAUCUUCAUUUGUUUCACCAGAUGCAUUAGUGACAGCAAUGGCUUAUCGGUUGCCUCAUGUGGUAAUGGGCAACAGGUUAGGAAAUAUACGGUGGUGGGAUGUAAUUAGUGGACAGUCAUCGUCAUUUAACACUCACAGGGGGGGAAUUCGCAGGAUCAAGUUCGCUCCAGUUGUAGUUGGGGAUCAGAGUCGAGGACGUGUAGCUGUGCUUUUUAAUGACAAUACAUUUUCGAUAUAUGAUUUGGAUACACAAGACCCAUUGGCAAAUGCCAUUUUGCAACCACAAUUUGCAGGAAUUCUGGUGCUGGAGCUUGAUUGGUUUCCAUUGCGUUUUGACAAGAAAGAGCCACUUUUACUUUGUCUUGCUGGGGCAGAUAGUAGCUUUCGUCUUCUUGAGGUUAAUACAAACCUAAGCAAGUCAGUUCAAGUUCACGAGGGAAAGGUUGUAAAGGAUAGAUUCCGUCCAAUGCCCUUGUGCUCACCAGCUUUGCUUCCUCCUCCACAUGCACUGGCUUUUCGUAUGCUUUUGCAAUGGGGAGUUCAACCUUCAUGGUUUGAUGCUCAUAUAUCACUGAAUGAUAUCGCCACUACAUAUACUUCUGGAAUUCCAUUGACCCUAGAGCAGAAAGAUCUUCGUAAAUACAUGCUAGAUACAACUCUUCCUGUGAUUGGUGAUUUGGUUGUUCCAGAAUUACUGCUGAAAAUUUUAGAACCUUACCGAAAGGCAGGGCGUCUAUUCAACAAUGACAGGAUCCGAAGAUAUACUAGUUUGCUCGGUAAAGGAUGCACAGCAAGAUUUGCUUUUGCUGCCAUACAUUUUGGGGAGUUCUCUGAAGCUCUCUUUUGGUUACAGCUUCCACACAUCCUUUCUUGUCUGACCGAGAAGAUACACGAGAAAUCCCUCAAACAAACAAAAUCCAUCAAACCAUCCGCUGAACUAACCACAUCUGAAGCAUUGCACAUAGCAAAAUCAACAAGAAGGAUUGCAUCAUUAAAAGAAAGGAAAGAUGAAGUUUCCGACAUUUCAGCACGGAGCUUACAAGAUUGCAGUUCCCUUCCCACGUUACAACUGCCAUAUCAAGGAUCGGGAGUGACUCCAUCUGGCCAAGGUGCAUUGUAUGUGGAUGCCCUGGAGCGUAUAUCAUGGCAUGGUGAGCUAGGAGGAGGAGAUGCAUCUCAAAAACGUGUACACGAACUUGUAGCAGUGGGUGACCUUGAAGCUGCUGUGACAUUGUUACUUUCUACUCCACCAGACAGCCCUUAUUUCUAUGUUGAUGCUCUUCGUGCAGUUGCCCUAUCAUCCGCUGUAUCUUCAGCUUUAUAUGAGCUUGCAGUUAAGGUUGUUGCAGCGAAUAUGGUGGGCACUGACAAGUCCUUUUCGGGAAUACACUUACUUUGUGCAGUUGGUUGUUAUCAAGAAGCUUGCUCACAGCUUCAAGAUGCUGGUUGCUGGGCAGAUGCGGCAACGCUAGCUGCAUCUCAUCUCCAAGGAUCUGAUUAUGCUAGGGUUUUGCAGAGGUGGGCUGAUCAUGUACUCUACGAUGAACAUAACAUUUGGAGGGCACUUAUCUUGUAUGUAACAGCUGGUGCUUUACAUAAGGCUUUGGCAGUCCUCCGUGAUUCACAUGAGCCUGACACAGCAGCCAUGUUUCUACUUGCUUGCCAUGAAAUCAAAGCAAAACUUCUCUCUGAAAUGUCUGGAGCUGGUAGUGUUGCUGCACUGAGUUCAGACGAGGGUCAAGGAGAUGCCAAAACCCUGGAUUUGCCUAACGAUUUGAAUCAAGAGCAAGAAGAUGUGCUUGCAGUUUGUGAGUACUAUGGACAAUACCAGAGAACAUUAGUUCAUCUCUGCACAGAUCUAUCACCAGUUUUGGAUUGAAUGGAAGAUAUCAAGGAGGAGAUAAGAGUAUAAAUAUUGAAGCAUACCACUAGUGAAUUAAUUAUUUUUCUAAGAUUCUUUAAAAUUUAUUAGCUGGCAAUACUUGGAAUCAAUUUGGGUUCAGCAGAGCAUGGAGAACAGUUAAUAAGAUCAUCCAUUUGGAAAAAAAUUCAUUGCCAUGUAUUCGAUUUAUUUAUUUUGAGACAUUCAGCCUAUGGACAUAACUCUGUGUUUCAAAGGAGGAUCUUUGAAGCAUUACUUUCCCACCUAUGAUUGAUCCAAUGAGGCUGCAUAAUCAAUUUGAUUAAUUCCGAUUCUUUUGAUAUAUUUUGUGAAUUGGAGGUGAAGAAAAGUGGUGUUUCUUUAUAUCUAUUCAGAACCAGUGACAAGAUUUCCAAGAGUUAAGUUGUGUUAGUUUUAAAGUGUGCCCAUUAAGAACCAUGGUUGAUAUUGAAACCUUCACAUAUAAGUGGAGUGCUUAGAUCAUAUGUAAUUGUGGUAAGCCACCUGAAUAUAAAACUUAAUUUAACACCUUGGAAAUUGGAGAAUAGAUUAACCUCAUGAAAAUAAGAUCGUAGUCAGACGUGAAAAUUUCAACUGUUUUUUUUUGUUGGGUUGAAGCAACCAGCUCUAUGAGAUGUUAUGUCACGAGGAUCUGACAAGUGAAAUUUAAAACAAUUUUCCUUGGUAUUUGUAUUUUGAUGAGGAUAAACAUUCUGAAUAAUUGUAGCAACCUGCUGGUAUUGAGAGCACAAAUUACAGGUGCGUGAAUAAUUGAGGUCUUUUGGUUAAGCACAAAGGACUGAGGGGUAGCUAUUCUGCCAAAAUCACCCAAGGCAUAUGAUACCAAGCUCAUCCUUUUCAAGUGUUAUUGACCUUUGCUUUCAGCAAGAUUUAUUUCUUGGUGAGAUUUUUGUAAGCUAUUCAACUUUACUAAUAAACUGAAGGCCUUGAACUAUAA